AGCAGUAGGGAAUCUUCCGCAAUGGGCGAAAGCCUGACGGAGCAAUGCCGCGUGAGUGAUGAAGGUUUUCGGAUCGUAAAGCUCUGUUGCCAGGGAAGAACGCUUGGGAGAGUAACUGCUCUCAAGGUGACGGUACCUGAGAAGAAAGCCCCGGCUAAAUACGUGCCAGCAGCCGCGGUAAUACGUAGGGGGCAAGCGUUGUCCGGAAUUAUUGGGCGUAAAGCGCGCGCAGGCGGUCAUUUAAGUCUGGUGUUUAAUCCCGGGGCUCAACCCCGGAUCGCACUGGAAACUGGGUGACUUGAGUGCAGAAGAGGAGAGUGGAAUUCCACGUGUAGCGGUGAAAUGCGUAGAUAUGUGGAGGAACACCAGUGGCGAAGGCGACUCUCUGGGCUGUAACUGACGAUGAGGCGCGAAAGCGUGGGGAGCAAACAGGAUUAGAUACCCUGGUAGUCCACGCCGUAAACGAUGAGUGCUAGGUGUUAGGGGUUUCGAUACCCUUGGUGCCGAAGUUAACACAUUAAGCACUCCGCCUGGG
rnacentral:rRNA from 1 species